rnacentral:rRNA from 1 species
CUGGCGACGAGUGGCGGACGGGUGAGUAACGCGUAGGAAUCUGCCUAGUAGUGGGGGACAACCUGGGGAAACCCAGGCUAAUACCGCAUACGCCCUAAGGGGGAAAGCGGGGGAUCUUCGGACCUCGCGCUAUUAGAUGAGCCUGCGUCGGAUUAGCUUGUUGGUGGGGUAAAGGCCUACCAAGGCGACGAUCCGUAGCUGGUCUGAGAGGAUGAUCAGCCACACCGGGACUGAGACACGGCCCGG